rnacentral:rRNA from 1 species
AGUGAACGCUGGCGGUAGGCCUAACACAUGCAAGUCGAACGGCAGCACAGUAAGAGCUUGCUCUUACGGGUGGCGAGUGGCGGACGGGUGCGGGAUACAUCGGACUCUACUUUUUCGUGGGGGCUAACGAAGGGAAACUUACGCUAAUACCGCAUACGACCUACGGGUGAAAGCAGGGGAUCUUCGGACCUUGCGCGAUUGAAUGCGCCGAUGUCGGAGUAGCUAGUUGGCGUGGUAACGGCCCACCACGGCGACGAUGCGUAGCUGGUUAGGGAGGAUGAGCAGCCACACUGGAACUGUGAAACGGUGCAGACUCCUACAGUAGGAAGCGGGGGGGAAGAAAGGACUAUUGCCGCAAGCCUGAUCCAGUCAUGCCGCGUGGGUGAAGGAGGCCUUCAGGUUUUAAAGCCCUAUUGUUGGGAAAGAAGAGCAGCAGGUCAAUACCCCGCUGUUCUGACGGUACCCAAAGAAUAAGCCCCGGCUAACUUCGUG